rnacentral:rRNA from 1 species
AACGAACGCUGGCGGCAGGCCUAACACAUGCAAGUCGAGCGCACCUUCGGGUGAGCGGCGGACGGGUUAGUAACGCGUGGGAACAUACCCUUUUCUACGGAAUAGCCUCGGGAAACUGAGAGUAAUACCGUAUAAGCCCUUCGGGGGAAAGAUUUAUCGGGAAAGGAUUGGCCCGCGUUAGAUUAGAUAGUUGGUGGGGUAAUGGCCUACCAAGUCUACGAUCUAUAGCUGGUUUUAGAGGAUGAUCAGCAACACUGGGACUGAGACACGGCCCAGACUCCUACGGGAGGCAGCAGUGAGGAAUAUUGGACAAUGGAGGCAACUCUGAUCCAGCCAUGCCGCGUGCAGGAAGACGGCCCUAUGGGUUGUAAACUGCUUUUAUACGGGAAGAACCACAUCUACGUGUAGAUGCUUGACGGUACCGUAUGAAUAAGACCGCUAACU